rnacentral:rRNA from 1 species
GACGAACGCUGGCGGCGUGCUUAACACAUGCAAGUCGAACGAACAGACGCCCAGCUUGGUGGUGGUACGUUAGCGGCGGACGGGUGAGUAACACGUGGAUAACCUGCCCUGUACUCUGGGAUAACCUCGGGAAACUGUAUCUAAUACCGGAUAAUACCAUGAACUGCAUUGUUCAGGAGUGAAAAACGUUGUUUUUGUCACGUAUAGGCGCAUCCCCUAUGAGUUGGCUGGUUGGUUAGUGACCUACCAAAGCGUCGACAGGUAGCCGGCCUGAGAGAGUGGACGGCCACAAUGGGACUGAGAGACGAGCCAGAUACGUACGGGAGGCAGCAGUGGGGAAUAUCGCUCAAUGGGAGCAAGCCUGAUGCAGCGAGGCCGAGUGGUGGAUGACGGCCUUUGGUUAGAAACUUUCUUUAGGUAGGAACGAAGCUAUACCUUUUUGGGGUGUGGUGACCGUACCUUUGUUAAGAAGCACCGGCUAACUACGUG